rnacentral:rRNA from 1 species
UACGGAGGAUGCGAGCGUUAUCCGGAUUUAUUGGGUUUAAAGGGUGCGUAGGCGGAAUAUCAAGUCAGCGGUAAAAAUUCGGGGCUCAACCCCGUCGUGCCGUUGAAACUGAUGUUCUUGAGUGGGCGAGAAGUAUGCGGAAUGCGCAGUGUAGCGGUGAAAUGCUUAGAUAUUAGGAAGAACACCAGUGGCGAAGGCGGCUUUCUGGACUGAAACUGACGCUGAGGCACGAAAGCGUGGGGAGCGAACAGG